UUCCCUGAAUGACGCUUAAUAAACAGCACUCUACUUUGAAACCAGUCCCUACAACCUCUAAAAAUCUGGUUAUUCAGAAAAAAAGAAAUUACACAGUGAAGUAGAAACAUCCAAGCAUAAGAUGAUCUAGAUUCAACUCAGGAGUUGAAGUCUGAAGAAGUUCCAUUCUACUCCUAGUUUUACGCGUUGCUGGAAAAACUCCUGAGGGGAAGGAAGCAGGAGAGGCUGAUGAAAUGGACCAGGCAGAACUGGCGGACUCGGAUCCAAAUCAGGAAAGAUGGCGCCAUGACAAUGGAGAAGGAUAUGAGGAUGGUGAACGUCAUCCUGGGGUAGGAGUCACUGUCAGACUCUUAAUGGGGCCAGUGAAUAACACUCACUGCUGGUAUUUUGUAUGCAGUAGUGAAUGAGUGAAGGCCGAUAAUCAUAAUAUGCUCACGACUUGUAAUUAUUUUUAAUAUUCAACUAUAAUGUUUUAGAAGUUAAAUGAAUGUCAAAUAUAAAAAUUAUAUUAAAAAUUUUUUUUUAACGUA